UACGGGGGGAGCAAGCGUUGUUCGGAUUUACUGGGCGUAAAGGGCGCGUAGGCGGCCACUGCAAGUCGGUUGUGAAAUCUCCGGGCUUAACCCGGAAAGGUCAAUCGAUACUGCAGGGCUAGAGUGCGGAAGGGGCAACUGGAAUUCUCGGUGUAGCGGUGAAAUGCGUAGAUAUCGAGAGGAACACCUGCGGCGAAGGCGGGUUGCUGGGCUGACACUGACGCUGAUGCGCGAAAGCCAGGGGAGCGAACGGG
rnacentral:rRNA from 1 species